rnacentral:rRNA from 1 species
AUUGAACGCUGGCGGCAGGCCUAACACAUGCAAGUCGAGCGGAUGAAGGGAGCUUGCUCCUGGAUUCAGCGGCGGACGGGUGAGUAAUGCCUAGGAAUCUGCCUGGUAGUGGGGGAUAACGUCCGGAAACGGGCGCUAAUACCGCAUACGUCCUGAGGGAGAAAGUGGGGGAUCUUCGGACCUCACGCUAUCAGAUGAGCCUAGGUCGGAUUAGCUAGUUGGUGGGGUAAAGGCCUACCAAGGCGACGAUCCGUAACUGGUCUGAGAGGAUGAUCAGUCACACUGGAACUGAGACACGGUCCAGACUCCUACGGGAGGCAGCAGUGGGGAAUAUUGGACAAUGGGCGAAAGCCUUAUCCAGCCAUGCCGCGUGUGUGAGGAAGGCCUUCGGAUUGUAAAGCACUUUAAGUUGGGAGGAAGGGCAGUAAGUUAAUACCUUGCUGUUUUGACGUUACCAACAGAAUAAGCACCGGCUAACUUCGUG